AGAAAGAAAAGGGAAGAAAAGAAGAAGAACAAAACCCUAGCUAAGAAAUUCAAGAGAAAUUCACCAAAUUUCAAGGAAUCAAGCCAUUAAAGGUAAAAUUUCUUAAUUCUAGCUUGUGUCUACCUUUCUUAUGCAUUAUUUUGCAUUUUCCAUGGUUGAAUCACAAGAUACCAUGAAGGAUAGUGUGCUGAUCAAACCUUAGGAGAGAGAAUUUGAUGAUGAAUUUAGUUAGAAAACAUGUUAUUCUAGUGUUUUUAGUUGUUUGGUGAUGUGUAGUAUGAAAAGCAAGCAAGAAAAAUUCAUGUUCUUACAUCACCUUCAUUGGCCGAAUAUUCCAUGUGGAAUAUUGAUGAUGAAUUUGAUUGAAUUUCAAGUGAUUUGAUUAGGAAUGAAUGAUUUAUGGUGUGAGAAUCAAGCAUGAAAAAUUAUAUUGUUAGUGCACUCACCAUGGCCGAAAUUUUCAAGAGAAAAUGUGAGGAUGAUUUUGCCACAUUUCAAGUUAUUUAAAUUGUGUUUAAUGAUUUGGAGUAUUGUGAGAGAAAUGGAAUUGUUUAGAGUUGAAUUGGACGUAUUGGUCAAUUAAUCAGGUGAUAGAUCGAAUUAGGUCAAUACCAUUUUAUUUAGGUACAUAAUUGAAUUUAUAUUGAACACCGUAUUUAGAUAGUUACCCGAGUAUUUCACAUCCCAUUUCAUGCAUUAGUAUAGAGCCUGAAUUGGUUUUACAACGGUUUAACACAAAUGUAGCAAAUUGCUUAUUGUGCAUUAUGUCUAGGUGGUGAGCAUUCUGGCAAGAGUAAAAAGGUAGUGUCCGAGGAUCAAGAAUCAGAGUAUCCCGAAUUCGAUUCCCAUUACAGUGAGUAACCUUAUCAUCAUCUUAAUUAUCUGAAGUGAAUUUUAAUUCGUUUUUGUGAUUUUAUAGAAAAUGAGUUUAAAUGGUAAAUCUUUGUGUUUUAUAAGCAAAAUGUGAUUAAAUGAAAUGAUUUUAUAAAAUUGUCUUGAAAUUGAAUGAUGGUUUUGAAAAUGGAGUAAUUGGAGACUACUUGUUGUGUUGUAAAUUAUGAUUUGAAUAGAAUGGCUUAUGAUAAUGUGAGCAUGAGUGGCUGGAUUGGUAAUUGUGCUAAACAUAUGUGAACAAUUGUUUUGCCUUGACAUGUUGUUUUGUAAAAUAAUUGCCACGUUAUGCUGCUGAAAUUUUAUUAAUUUGGUGGGAUAUCGAUUAGCUUAUUGUAAUGGGUGGGUUUCUGUGGAUCAGCCUAUUAGAGGGGCACGGUAAACCCGUUAUAUUCUUACCUCAGUCUGAGAGGCACGUAGGGUAACUCCUGAGGUGAAAUUUUAGAGUUCACUUCAUGUUGAACCACCACGUGAGGGUAAAUUCAGCCAACGCCAAGGAACGGCUAUGUUUUCAAAAUAAAAACAUGAUUUAUGAGUACAUGACUUUUUAACAGCCUUGGCGGAUUCGGUUGGGAUAGCCCCAGGUCAAGGUAUCCCUGACAACUGAGUAUGAAAAUGAUUUUGACAUGAGCCAAGCUUUUCAGGAAAUCAUAAGUCUCGUUUAUUUGGGUGAAAUGAAUCUAUUUUAUCUUAUUAAUAUGAGUUCGAAAUGCUGCGAAUCAUUUUUAUGCUAAUCUAUUUAUCUGUCUCCAUUUACUCAGCUUUAGAUAUUUUAGAUGAUAUUUGUUUACUCACUGGGAUUAUAUAAUCUCACCACCCUCCUUUCCACCCAUUUCAGGAUCAGGAUAGUCGGUAGAUAGCUCAUUUCGUUGAGGGUUACAGUUGGACUUGCAUCCUCAAAAAACAAACUGUAGGUUCACAGCCUUCAUUACUUUUAGUCAUUCGGGGGCCCACAUGUCAUUGUUAAAUGUUUUGAAUACCUAGCUGCAUGUGCU
rnacentral:lncRNA from 1 species